rnacentral:rRNA from 1 species
GACGAACGCUGGCGGCGUGCCUAAUACAUGCAAGUCGAGCGGAUUGAUGGGAGCUUGCUCCCUGAUAUCAGCGGCGGACGGGUGAGUAACACGUGGGCAACCUGCCUAUAAGACUGGGAUAACUUCGGGAAACCGGAGCUAAUACCGGAUAAUCCCUUUCCUCUCAUGAGGAAAGGCUGAAAGAUGGUUUACGCUAUCACUUAUAGAUGGGCCCGCGGCGCAUUAGCUAGUUGGUGAGGUAACGGCUCACCAAGGCAACGAUGCGUAGCCGACCUGGGGGGGUGAUCGGCCACACUGGGACUGAGACACGGCCCAGACUCCUACGGGAGGCAGCAGUAGGGAAUCUUCCGCAAUGGACGAAAGUCUGACGGAGCAACGCCGCGUGAGUGAUGAAGGUUUUCGGAUCGUAAAACUCUGUUGUUAGGGAAGAACAAGUACGAGAGUAACUGCUCGUACCUUGACGGUACCUAACCAGAAAGCCACGGCUAACUACGUGUCAGCCGCCGCAGUAA